UGCGUGGCCUGUGGGGAAACGAGCAAAGUCGGCAUUGGGUGAGGCCUUAACCGAACCUCCACCAGCUCCCUCACAGUGCCGUUCCCGUCAUUCCUGGAGGCAGAGCUGGCCCGCCAGUUCCUGGCCCCGCACGCCCAGCCCCGCGGAGGGGCGGGUGUGAAGGAGCUCUCGGUGUCUGGCAGUCUUCUGAUGAUCCGACUGACUGGUGAAGACCCUGUUGAAAUCCGAAAUUCUAUCACCUCCUGUCUCAACGAGCUUUCCCUGUUGGUUUUCCCCCCAUGUUUUUUCAUUGAGUCCACAAUGGAAAAAGGGGGCUAAGACGAGCCUAGAGUGAGUCCCUCUCUAGGCAGUGCAUCCUUCCCUGGGGCAUUGAUUCCUACAGAAGUUGCCACUCUAUUAUGGGGGUCAAACUCUUUGCUUGUACUGGCCCUUCUGCACCCUCGACUAUAUUGUUUCACUGUUACUGGACAGAGGAGUCCUUAAUUGUUUGUUACAGCAGAAAAUAAAACUUACCUGCU